rnacentral:lncRNA from 1 species
CUCAAAUCAUGAUGAAAAGUUGCUUACUGUGAUAGCAGAGAACAGGUCUUGAAAAUGCAUGAGAUCACCUCUAGUCAUCCUGUUUAAUAUUUGUUGAACUAUACUUGUUAGGCCUAAAAAGAACAUUUGCAAGAUAUGGACAAAAGAAAGGAGUCUCUCUAGUGCUGCUCAUAUGAAUAAGGCAAGCACUUAAAUGAGGCCAACUGGAUCCAACUAGAAGCCAAAUGUUUCUGUCAAGCCUGUGUAAUCUUGAAGCAUCCCUUUGUUCCUCAGGGAUGCCUGGUGGUUCUGCUGAGCUGGCACACAGCGCAUGGGGGCACCGCUCUCAGCUCUGCAUCCCCUUCCACCAGCAGCUUGGUGUGGCUGUCCUCCAGCAAGCACAAGGUGUGAGGAUACAGACCAAGUCAGAGGGAGGGGAGGAAUCUCUGCACCAAGCCUCCAUCUGCCUUGUAGAGCAAUGCCGCAGGAGCUCACAGCUUGCUGAAAAGCCACUGCCUAGCUCCAAAGCUUCAGACGUUACCUUAGUAGCACACUUAAUGGUGCACCCUUCAGAGAACUUGACAUUACAAGCAUAAAUGGGGUUUUCAGAAACAUCAGGAGAAAUUUGGGGAUCAGGUUUGUUAUUCUUCUCAAGGUAGUCGGAUUUACCAGUGAUAGUGUCACUAUCAAAAAGCUAGAUAGACCCACAGCCAGUUUACUAGCACCUCACACUAGAAGAAUAAAUCUCACUUAAGUACAAUGAAGCUAUAUAUC